rnacentral:rRNA from 1 species
GACAGAGGAGGCCAGCGUUAUCCGGAGUCAUUGGGCGUAAAGGGUACGUAGGCGGCUAGUCAAGUCUGAGGUUAAAGUCCACAGCUCAACUGUGGGAAGGCCUUGGAAACUGACUGGCUAGAGUGGGGCAGGGGUUGCGGGAAUUCCCGGUGUAGCGGUGAAAUGCGUAGAUAUCGGGAAGAACACCUGAGGCGAAAGCGCGCAACUGGGCCCUAACUGACGCUGAGGUACGAAAGCUAGGGGAGCGAAUGGG